rnacentral:lncRNA from 1 species
UAACUCCCUCCCCCUAGUCCCUGUCCAGUAUUUCCUUCUGGGAGGUGGGUUGGGUGAGGCUUUUGUUUCAACUGCCUGCGGAAUGUUGCCUGAUGGAACAGAGUAGAGAGGGCCUGUCUUUAAAAGCCCAGAUAGAGGAGCUCUGGCCCAUAAGGGUGCUUCCUGCCUGCUCGCCUGCAGGCUCCUGUCCUUCCUGUUGGCACCAUGCUCUGCAGAGCUCCAGUCCUCUGUGCUCUGUGUGUCCUGGCUGGGGCUUUGCCCUUGCCUGACCUAGAAUUCAUCGCUUACCUACCUGAAUUGGUCAGCAUUAUAAAUGAGGUCAAACUUGAUAUAGACACAACCAGGGGUGAAGAUUCAACAGCUGGUGUAUCACAGACACAUGGACCAGAGUCCACCGGAGACAUAUCAUGGGAGGACACACAGACUUUGAAGCCCAUCAUAGAUGAAGAUUCUACAGCUGGUGUAUCCCGGACCCAGGGACCAGAGUCCGCCAGAGGCACAUCACAGGAACAUACACAGACUUUGAAGCCCAUCAUAGAUGAAGGUUCAACAGCUGGUGUAUCCCAGACCCACGGACCAGAGUUCACCAGAGGCAUAUCCCAGGAGGACACACAGACUUCGAAGCCCAUCAUAGAUGAGGAUUCAAUAGCUGGUGUAUCCCAAACCCAGGGACCAGAGUCUACCAGAGACAUAUCCCAGGAGGACACACAGAGUUUGAAGUCCGUCAUAGAUGAAGAUUCAACAGCUGGUGUAUCCCAGACCCAGGGACCAGAGUUCACCAGAGGCAUAUCCCAGGAGGACACACAGACUUUGAAGUCCGUCAUAGAUGAAGAUUCAACAGCUGGUGUAUCCCAGACCCAGGGACCAGAGUUCACCAGAGGCAUAUCCCAGGAGGACACACAGACUUUGAAGCCCAUCAUAGAUGAAGAUUCAACAGCUGGUGUGCCUCAGACCCAUGGACCAAAGUCCACCAGAGACAUAUUCCAGGAGGACACACAGACUUUGAGUAAGUGAAAGCCUUGCCUCAGAGGAGGCCUGGGCUGUCAUAGCUGUCUCCCAGCUCCUGCCUGCCUAAAUGAAAUCCUGUUCUCCUCCAGUGUACUGAAUUCCCACAAUGAAUAGCCACGCCUGUGU